rnacentral:tRNA from 1 species
GGAUGGAUGUGUGAGCGAUUGAAAGAGUUAGUCUUGAAAACCAAAGUAUUGAUAGGAAUACCGGGGGUUCGAAUCACUCUCCAUCCG